CGGGGUGUGGCGCAGCUGGCUAGCGCGCAGAGCUGGGGGCUCUGAGGUCGAAGGUUCAAGUCCUUUCACCCCGA
rnacentral:tRNA from 1 species